rnacentral:tRNA from 1 species
AGCCUGGUAAUAUAUAUGUAAUAAUAUUUUAAAUUGCAAAUUUGAGAAAGGAGAAAUCCCUAGGUUU